UAGGGAAUCUUCCGCAAUGGGCGAAAGCCUGACGAAGCAACGCCGCGUGAGUGAUGAAGGUCUUCGGAUCGUAAAACUCUGUUAUUAGGGAAGAACAAAUGUGUAAGUAACUAUGCACGUCUUGACGGUACCUAAUCAGAAAGCCACGGCUAACUACGUGCCAGCAGCCGCGGUAAUACGUAGGUGGCAAGCGUUAUCCGGAAUUAUUGGGCGUAAAGCGCGCGUAGGCGGUUUUUUAAGUCUGAUGUGAAAGCCCACGGCUCAACCGUGGAGGGUCAUUGGAAACUGGAAAACUUGAGUGCAGAAGAGGAAAGUGGAAUUCCAUGUGUAGCGGUGAAAUGCGCAGAGAUAUGGAGGAGCACCAGUGGCGAAGGCGACUUUCUGGUCUGUAACUGACGCUGAUGUGCGAAAGCGUGGGGAUCAAACAGG
rnacentral:rRNA from 1 species